rnacentral:rRNA from 1 species
UUCGUAGGCGGCCAUGUAGGUCAGGUGUGAAAUCCCACAGCUCAACUGUGGAACUGCGCUUGAAACCACAUGACUUGAGGAAGAUAGAGGUGAGCGGAACAGAUGGUGGAGCGGUGAAAUGCGUUGAUAUCAUCUGGAACACCGGUGGCGAAAGCGGCUCACUGGAUCUUUUCUGACGCUGAGGAACGAAAGCUAGGGUAGCGAACG